GAUGAAGAACGUAGCGAAAUGCGAUAAGUAAUGUGAAUUGCAGAAUUCAGUGAAUCAUCGAAUCUUUGAACGCACAUUGAGCCCCCUGGUAUUCCGGGGGGCAUGCCUGUUCGAGCGUCAUUUCACCACUCAAGCCUCGCUUGGUAUUGGGCAUCGCGGUCCGCCGCGUGCCUCAAAUCGACCGGCUGGGUCUUCUGUCCCCUAAGCGUUGUGGAAACUAUUCGCUAAAGGGUGUUCGGGAGGCUACGCCGUAAAACAACCCCAUUUCUAAGGUUGACCUCGGAUCAGGUAGGGAUACCCGCUGAACUUAAGCAUAUCAAUAAGCGGAGGA
rnacentral:misc_RNA from 1 species